rnacentral:lncRNA from 1 species
CAGUAUUUCAUCUACUUCAUUUAAAUACUAAUGAAGUUCAACCAAUCAACCAUUUCAAACUAAAAACAUGUAUAUAUUUCGAUAUCUAACGCAACCAUAACAUUCAAAUUUACUUUUUACUUCAAUUCCCUAUACAUGCCAUAUAAAUCCAAAAAGUUGCUUAACAUAAACUACCGGAGUAUAUCUGGGUAGUGUGAUUCUUGAUGUAGAUCCGAUCCUCCGAAUGUAUAAAUACGUUAAUCUGUCAACCACAAUCUUUGGUGAGUUCCUUGGUAUAAACUCACUACUACUUAUUCUUUUACCAUAAUUCCUUUGGGCCCAUUUGUCACUUACCAUCCUUGAUCAAAAUUAAGGAACGGUUAUGGAAAUUUGAGUACUUCACUUUCACUUUGCCAUAUGACCUCUUAUCACUUGUCCUUGAUCAGAUAAGUGUAGCUAGGCUACCACUUAUCACUUUACCACUUGAUCAGAUAAGUGUAGCCACUUAUCACUUUGUUUCUUGAUCAGAUAAGUGUAACCACUUAUCACUUUGUUUCUUGAUCAGAUAAGUGUAACCACUUAUCACUUUGUUUCUUGAUCAGAUAAGUGUAGCUAAAACUACCACUUAUCACUUUGUCACUUGAUCAGAAGUACUCAAAUUCGACGUUCCACUUAAUUUGAUCAUUUAUUCGAUUUUCACAUUUUUAUUUUAUUCUCAUUUCAACAAUAAAUACAUUUCACCAUACAUUGUAUAAUUCAUGAAAUUAACAUUUAAUCAUUAAAUUUCAGCCAUAUGAAUUUACCUGGAUCGAUUUGCAGAAUUUGUAAAAGUUCAGGGACUAAUCGGCUACUUUUUCUUUUCCUCGACUUGUUUCAGGUUCUCGAUAUGAUUCAAAAAUAUGAAAAACCAGCUUAUUCCAGACCUCCUAUGGCGUUUUUGCUGAUAAAU